rnacentral:rRNA from 1 species
CGUUGAUUUAGGCUUAUUUAGUAAGACUAACACCAAGCGGAGGGCUGGGAGUGAAGAAAAUUACUUAGUGGCGAACGGGUGAGUAACGCGUGAGUAACCUGCCCUGGAGUGGGGGACAACAGUUGGAAACGACUGCUAAUACCGCAUAAGCCCACAGUGCCGCAUGGCACAGCGGGAAAAGGAUUUAUUCGCUUCAGGAUGGACUCGCGUCCAAUUAGCUAGUUGGUGAGGUAAUGGCCCACCAAGGCGACGAUUGGUAGCCGGACUGAGAGGUUGAACGGCCACAUUGGGACUGAGACACGGCCCAGACUCCUACGGGAGGCAGCAGUGGGGGAUAUUGCACAAUGGGGGAAACCCUGAUGCAGCGACGCCGCGUGGAGGAAGAAGGUUUUCGGAUUGUAAACUCCUGUCGUUAGGGACGAACUUUGACGGUACCUAACAAGAAAGCACCGGCUAACUACGUGCCAGCAGCCGCGGUAAAACGUAGGGUGCAAGCGUUGUCCGGAAUUACUGGGUGUAAAGGGAGCGCAGGCGGACCGGCAAGUUGGAAGUGAAAUCUAUGGGCUCAACCCAUAAAUUGCUUUCAAAACUGCUGGCCUUGAGUAGUGCAGAGGUAGGUGGAAUUCCCGGUGUAGCGGUGGAAUGCGUAGAUAUCGGGAGGAACACCAGUGGCGAAGGCGACCUACUGGGCACCAACUGACGCUGAGGCUCGAAAGCAUGGGUAGCAAACAGGAUUAGAUACCCUGGUAGUCCAUGCCGUAAACGAUGAUUACUAGGUGUUGGAGGAUUGACCCCUUCAGUGCCGCAGUUAACACAAUAAGUAAUCCACCUGGGGAGUACGACCGCAAGGUUGAAACUCAAAGGAAUUGACGGGGGCCCGCACAAGCAGUGGAGUAUGUGGUUUAAUUCGAAGCAACGCGAAGAACCUUACCAGGUCUUGACAUCCGAUGCAUAGUGCAGAGAUGCAUGAAGUCCUUCGGGACAUCGAGACAGGUGGUGCAUGGUUGUCGUCAGCUCGUGUCGUGAGAUGUUGGGUUAAGUCCCGCAACGAGCGCAACCCUUAUUGCCAGUUACUACGCAAGAGGACUCUGGCGAGACUGCCGUUGACAAAACGGAGGAAGGUGGGGAUGACGUCAAAUCAUCAUGCCCUUUAUGACCUGGGCUACACACGUACUACAAUGGCGUUUAACAAAGAGAAGCAAGACCGCGAGGUGGAGCAAAACUCAAAAACAACGUCUCAGUUCAGAUUGCAGGCUGCAACUCGCCUGCAUGAAGUCGGAAUUGCUAGUAAUCGCGGAUCAGCAUGCCGCGGUGAAUACGUUCCCGGGCCUUGUACACACCGCCCGUCACACCAUGAGAGCCGGGGGGACCC